UUGAGAAGUUGAUCGCGGAGGCAUAUUCAGCAAUCGAUAAAGCAGUCAAAGCUGGGUCACUUCACAGGAACACUGGAGCAAGAAGAAAAUCUCGGCUUGCUAGAAGAAAGAAAGCAGUUGAAAUCCAUCAUGGAUGGUAUGUACCUGCUCCAGUCGAGGAACCCGCUCUUGUAGCCACAGCUUGAUGUCAUCCACAUUUUCAAUGUUGAAUGUAAAGUAGUGGCAGGAAUCCAUCAUGGAUGGUAUGUGCCUGCUCCAGUCGCGGAACCCGCUCUUGUAGCCACAGCUUGAUGUCAUCCACAUUUUCAAUGUUGAAUGUAAAGUAGUGGCAGGUUGAGAACAUUUCAGCUUCCUAAAGUAUGAUCAGAUUAUUCCAUUUUUGAUAUUGUAUAUGACCUUGUUGUCCAAUCAAUUUCUCCUUUUCUUUUGCUCUUCAGUUAAAUUGUGUUUACCUUCAUUUUGUUUCUUGAACAUUAUGGCGUUAAUUAGAAUGUUGAUUUGAAAAUUGAAACACACUUCCAAAUGGACCCUUUCUUGGAAUUGUAAACUAUACUGAUAUACUGUAAAAAGUUUAUACAUUGUUAGAGUGUAUAACUUAAGUCCUUUCUUACCAACAAUUACUGGCUUCUUCUUUUUUUUUUUUUUUUUUUUUUUUNNNNNNNNNNNNNNNNNNNNNNNNNNNNNNNNNNNNNNNNNNNNNNNNNNNNNNNNNNNNNNNNNNNNNNNNNNNNNNNNNNNNNNNNNNNNNNNNNNNNNNNNNNNNNNNNNNNNNNNNNNNNNNNNNNNNNNNNNNNNNNNNNNNNNNNNNNNNNNUUUUUUUUUUUUUUUUUUUUUUUUGGCAAUGAACUUUUCUCUUCUUCGAAAGCAAUGUACUAGCUAAUCAUCUUGGGGAAAAAAACAAUGUUCUAGCUGCUUCUUUCAAUGAGGAAAUUGAUGUUGAAUGUUUAACAUCUGUUACAUUUUAAACACAUUUCAACCAUUUUCUAAAGUAAAAUUUAGAAUUCAAUACAAUGAACGGAAUUAUUAGGCUUAGACGAAUAGAAAAUGAAAUUUAAACAUGUUUUUCGUUUCUACAUUGCCUUAAAUUUGUUCUACUUUGCCUAAUAUUUGUUCUCACAUUUUAAAACUUCUUUUUGUGUAUUACAUAAUUGUGAGUUCGAAUGUAAGACGAAGUUUCUCUCUCUUAGUUUAAGAAUUAUUAGGUAAAAAAGGUAUGGGGUAAAGUGGUAUUUACUUUUUAUCCAAUAUUGUUAAUGUUUCGCAAUAGUAGCCACUAGUCUAUUAAAAUUAUUAUGAAAAAAUUGGGUUACCCUUUCUUCUAUCUCUUUUUCCUUCCCAAACCUUCUAUCAAGUCCAAAUAUACCUAUAAUGGAGAUAACGUGUAACUUGUGCUGACAACUAUCAAAUUCUUCCUACUCUCAAUCAAAUCAAAAUUUCUUGUUUCUGUGAACAUAUACUGCCCUUUCCUUUUCAACUCAUGUUCGUAAUCAUACCCCAAAAACAAUAUAAAUAAUGAUUUCAAUAAUUGUAUUUUUGAUAUUUUUGGCGAGACAAAUACAGUCAGAGCAAUUCGAGGUGUUAUCGGGUUAACACAAAAUGCAUAGCAGAAGACAUAAUGAGUCGUGGUUGCGGUAGGUACUUGAUCCUUAGAGUUAGAAGAAAAAAAUUGGGAUAUUUGGUCAUUAACUUAGAGUUACAAUCACAUAAAUUAAGGACAGAUAGUCCUUAACUUAGAGUUACAAGCACAAAAAUUAAGGAUAGGUAGUCUUAAACUUCGAGUUUCAAGUUCAAAAGUUAAGGACAAGUAGCCCUAAACUUAGAGACACAAGUUCAAAAACUAAGGACAAGUAGUCCUUAACUUGGAUUUACAAGCUAAUAAAUUAAGGACAACUGGUCUUGAACUUAUAUUAACAAGCCCAUAAGUUAAGGACACAUGGUCCUGUACUUAGAGUUGGAAGUUCAAAAUUUAGGGACACUUGGUCCUUAACUUAGAGUUACAAGCACAGAAAUUAAGGAUAUGUAGUCCUUAACUUAGAGUUACAGGCACAUAAAUUAAGGAUAGCUAGUCCUGAACUUACAGUAACAAGCUCAUAAAAUAAAGACACUUGGUCCUGAACUUUAUGAGCAGAAGGGUAUUUUCAUCCAGGCGGGUAAAAGUUUAAAAGCAGUGGCUAAAGACUAAAGACAUUUUAAACAAUGGCUUAAAAGUAAAUACAUAUCGUACUACUGGCUUACUGUGCACUUAGAGUUUCAAGUUCAAAAAAUAAGGACAUGUAGUCCUGAACUUAGAGUUACAAGUGCAAAAGUUAAAGAUAAGUAGUUCUAAACUUAGAGUUACAUGCUCAAAACCUAAGGACAUGUGUUGAUACCCAAUAUUUUUUAUAUCUUUUAAAUAUGCAUAAAUACCUUUAAAAUAGCAUAUAUAUGCAUAUAUAAGCAUCCAAAAGAUUUUUAUAAUUUUUUUCCAUAAUUUCAAGAAUUUAAAUUAAUUUAUUUUUUCCCCUUUUAUCCACAAAAUUCCCAAUAAUAUUUUCCAAGUUAUUUUUAUGAUGAUUUAAUCAUUUAAUCUCUAAACUUAUGUCAAAAUAUGGCUAAUAUAUUUUUCAUGCAUUUUUAUAAUUACAUUUAGUAUUUUUUAUAGCUAAAUUGCAUAUAAAUGCAAUAUUAGCCCAUUUUAAGGAAUAAUUAUAUUUUAUAUGCAUAAAAUUGAUCUCUAUAUUUUUAAGAUAUUAAUCAUGUAUUUUAUAUCAUUUUUGGCACCUUAAAAUAUUUUUCAAAAAAUUACCGAUUAUUUAUAAAUUAAAAUAGGAAAAAUAGCUACUUAAAUAAUAGCCAAAUUUGGCUUUCAAUUGUAGCCAAAGUCGGACCCUUCCCUAGCCCGAUUUUCUAUCAAAUAACCCGACCAAGCCCCAAUUACCUCAUACCCGCCCCAAGCCAUCUUAAAUGAACGGCCCUCGUCCCUUCUUUACCUUUUAAUUCUAAGAGAUCCCCUAACUCUAACCAUUUCUCUAAAUCUACUGCCCUCAAACUCUCUCAUCUCCUUUCUUCUCUUUCAACCUAUCCCUAGACUCUGUUAAUCGCCUCCUUCUCCGGUUAUCUACGGCGACCACCUUUUUAUCCCAAGCCUCGAAUCUCUCAUCGCCGUCAUCAUUAUCUCUAUGGCCUUCAAGAGUCCUGCGCCAUGCCGAUUUGGAUCUAGGGUUUCUAUUUCUGCUUUUCGUGACUUCUCUUGUGUGAUUUUGGGCAAAAUCACACCAUAUAUGUUACGAUUGUUGAAGUUUGCAACAAGUUCUUUUAAUUCUACUUGGGUUUCCUUUGAAUCCCUAACCCUCGUUUGAAUCUCUUAAGAACUGUGUUAUUUUUAACGCUUUAGGUCUGUUUCUUCCUAUUUGCACUAUUCUCAAACUUCUUCUGAAAGAUCCUCAACUUUAAAACAUUUACUUUCUUUAAAAAAAAUUAGGGUUUUCCCGGAGUUCCUUCUUCACUUGUUUUAAUCAAUUUUCCUUAUGGUUAAACAUCUUUCCUUGCUUAUUUUUAGUGAUCCUAUGUUCCUAACAUUUUUUAACUCGACCCUGUCAAAAAAAGCCCUAAUCUUUAAGACAUUCUUUACUUUGGUUUUGUGUGUUAGCAUGACUAUUUGAUUUUGUUAAAGUGUUUAUUGGUUACAAUGCUUCGAAUGGAUUUUCUACCGAGUCUUUAGCCUACUUAUGCCACUUCUGUAUGAUUGUGUUUGCUCAUCUCUUACUUCUUUCUGUCUAUAUGGCUGACCUUGCCUGUUUGUUGUGCCUGUUCGUUCUUCCCUAUUUGUAUGUUGAAGUGCAGAAUCAUGAAUCCCUCUUGAUUGAUUCUAAUUUCCUUAAUUUAUGGUUUGAUUGCAAUUUCCUCUCAAAACCCUAAGGUUCUACUCGUCUAUUUAAAUUGACGGAUUCUGUUUCCUUAUUUGUUGUGGUACUUCACACGUACUGAAUUCUUUCCUUUAUCAGUAUAGUCUGUACUUAGAAUUAAUCAUGUGCUAGACUUAAUCAUGUGCUUUAUACUUUUAAUAAUUUUAAUAUCAUAAAAAAUUAGUCUUUCUCAACUAAUUUUCUUUCCUUAAUUAUCCUUGUUGGUAUCCUUUCAAGCUGUGAUCCUUGAUUAAAGGGGAUAACUUGUAUUAGUUGGAUUCUAAUUAUAAUUACUUCCAUAAUUGUGCUAAACCUUUACUUGUUACCUUAUUUUCUACUGAUUUUCAAAACUAUAAAUACACUAAGUCUUUCAUUAACAGAGACAAACACUUAGUUUUUCAAAAACUACAUCUCUUACUAAAAAAUCUUGGCUCUCCCUCUCUCUUGCACUGUUUGCUACUAUUAGCCGGCUGCAAGCCAAGGGUAAUCAUUUGUGCUCUUUAGUUCUUUCAUCCUACUUACCUCUAUCUUCACCGGUAUGUCCUAGUUCUGAUUUAAAGCUCCAACAACAAUAUGCUUCUCUUAUUGUUUCAGUUUCUCUUAUUUCGAGCUUGCUUCUACUUGUGGUUCUAUUGUGAAACUUGUAUUUAAGUUACACUAUCAGCAUGCUAUUAUUUCUCCCCUUCAAUGUAUUCCCUUAUGUAUGUGUCAAAGCAUGCCUUGCAAGUUGUCUUUUACUUCUUAUGUGUUUACCAACCUAUGAAUCCCCAAAUCCUUAUCACCCCUUGUAUAAAUUUGUAUUCUUCCUGACUGAUUUGUGACUAUGCCGGUGUCUACUAUUUCUGAGCAUGUCUAAUCCAGUCUUACGACCUUUGCUGGGUUAUACAACCAAAUAUCUAUGCAUCCCCAAACCCCUUGAUCUCUGUGUGACUACUGAAUUUAUUUGGAUUCUGUAAACUAGUUGUAUGUGAUCUGAUCUUAAUGUGUUUAAGCUUUGUUUACUAGUCCAACCUCUUUUCAAACAAUCUCUAUUGCUUUAAUACCUACUUUCAAAACAGACUUUCCAAUACAGUCUUUAAUAACCCUUUUCAACUUGUGUCCUGCACUUCCACUUUACUCUUUGUCAAUAAGUUCUGCCCUCUCUAGUAUGUUUACUACCUUGGGAUCCUCUUGAGAGCCCUCUGAACUCUGGCAUAUUGAGGCUGGCUUUUCCACACUGCACCGGUUCAAUUCUUGGUUGCUAAGUCUAUGCGUAAGCAUUGUUUGGGGUCCUUGAGACCCUUAGGGAACUUUGAUGCACCUAGACUCUGAUUUGUCUAUGGAAUUGAGGCUUAUGAGACCAUUGGAGGCUUCGAGAAACUUGGGCCUAAUUCCAGGCUCCCUAUAGAAUGGCUUCUUGAUUUUCUAUUUCACUUAUGUAAUUCAUUCAUUUACCUGUAAUAAUUUAUAAAUAGAUCUUUGGGGUAUUUAGUAAAAAAGGUGGGUAGAUGUAUACUUUAUAGUGUAAUAUGGGUAGAAAUCCUUCUCAUAGGAUCUUACUUCUAAAAUAUGCCUGCUUUACUCAAUAGAAAAUAUGAUCAUAGGGUUUCACAUUUUUUUUAAAAUCUGAUUACUAUGCCUAAGUAGAAUCCGUGCCUAUACGAUUUCACUUCUAAAUUCAUUUGCAUCAAGUAAAAAUCAUGUACUUAAGGUUCUGCAUUUUGUCAUGUUAGAAACCAUAUUCAUAGGUUCCAAACAUCUAUGUCUUAAAUCAGUAGAUGCCAUGCCUAUAGGACUCAACUCCGAUUCCAUUUUAAUAAGUAUUUCUGUAUGUCGUUGCAAAUCGAUUAUAAUCAGCUAUCCACUUAGAUAUCAUGCCUAUAAGGAUUCUACUAGCAUUACUGUCUGAUAAUUUAGUUUGGCCUAAUAAAUCAACUUCAUUACGGUUAGUUCAUUUUUAAAACUGGUCUAAUUAGGUGUUAAACAUUUCCUGAAACAAGUUCUUUCAAAAUUACCUCAAUCUCAUUAGAUAUCAUGCAUAUAGGUAUUAAAGGAGUCUAUUUCGAAAACCUGUUUGUUUCUGCAUUAAUAUAGACAUAGCAUACAACAUAUAGGCAAGCCGUAGGGCAUUUUCGAAAAUAGCAUUUCCCUGAAUCUGUCUCGGUUGUUUAACAUUUCUGAUUCUAAUAACUUUUAAAAGAGUCCCUAGGCAACUACUAGGUUAUAACUUCUGGGUAUAACAGUUUGGUCUGUUUCUGCAUAGUCACUUAGAGAUCUUGCUUUAGGACUUUGAUUAAUAAAGACUGCUUGUAUGUUUACUUGAGGGGGAAACUUUGAGACUCUUAUGUGCUUCCAUUAUGUGUGAAAGUCCUAAAUGUUUGACUGUUGCCUUAGAGUGUUCGCCUUUUGAAACCUUAGGGGUAUGUCUAGAACUACCUAUAGGUAGAUGUCCUAACUCCUUCCGGGAUCACUAAGAAGGGAUGGGUAGCAUCACACAAUAGGAAUUAGUGAACAAAUAAUCUCUUUACAUGACCAAUUAGGGGGAUGGAAGGGUAGAAAUGGGACAUGAUGACUAUGCGUUAAUGUCACAUGUAGCCCCUCAUCGAGGAGUGUCUACCGGACAUCUUAUAAGAUAAACAACCUAGGUCCCUCUUUACCCAAAUCCUCUCUUUAUUUCAACCUUUGUUGUCCAACUUGUCCAAACCUUUAUCUCACUACUUUAAUUAUUGAAUGUGUUUAUUAACAACCUACAUCAUUCAACUGUUUAUAUGGACUAAUUUGUGCAUAUAAGUUCGGUCGGGACCCACAGUUGUUGACCAAGAAGGGUGCCUAAUACCUUCCCCUUGAGGUUACUUCGAGUUGUUACCCUAAUCACUGGUAAUGCAAACCAACUCAAGAGUUAAUCACUCUAGGUGCCAUAAUGCACCAUAAUCCGUUAGGUGAAAACACUUCAAAUACCCAAUUCCUAAAAGUAAAUGAAUCAUUAUACCCUAUGAAUUUCAAAACCCGGACUUCUCCUUGCGAAUGGAAAAAAGGGGCGCAAUAAUAUAUAGUCCUUAACUUUGAUUUAGAAGCUCAUAAAAUAAGGACAACUAGUCCAUAAUUUAUAAUAACAAGCUCAUUAGUUAAGGAUACCAGGUCCUGAACAUAGAGUUGAAAGUUCAAAAACUAAGGACACUUGGUCCUUAACUUAGAGUUACAAGCAUAAAAAAUAAGGACAAGUAGUCCUUAACUUUAAGUUACAAGCACAGAAAUUAAGGGACAGGUAGUCCUGGGCUUCGAGUUACAACUUCAAAAGUUAAGGGCACUUAAUGCUGAACUUAGAGUUACAAGUUCAAAAGUUAAGCACAUGUAGUCUUAAACUUAGAAUUACAAGAUCCAAAACUGAGGACAUGUUGUCCUUAACUUAGACUUACAAGCUCAUAAAUUAAGGGUGGCUAGUCCAGAACUUACAGUAAUAAGGUCAUAAGUUAAGGACAUUUAGUCAUAAACUUAGAGUUGGAAGUUCAAAAAUUAAGGACAUUUGGUCCUUAACUUAGAGUACAAGCACAACAAUUAAGGACAAGUAGUCCUUAACCUAGAGUUACAAGCACAUAAAUUGAGGACAGGUAGUCUUGAACUUCGAGUUCCAACUUUUAAAGUUAAGGACAUAGAGUUACAAGUUCAAAAUUUAAGGAUAGUUAGUCCUAAACUUAAACUUAUAAACUCAUAAAUUAAGUACAACUAGUCCUAAACUUAAACUUACAAACUUAUAAAGUAAGGACACUUGUCGCUGAAAUUUAUGAGCAGAAGGGUAUUUUCAUUCGGGCAGGUAAAAGUUUAUUAGAACAGUGGCUAAAGACUAAAGACAUUUUAAACAAUGGCUUAAAAGUAAAUACAUAUCUUAUUACUGGCUAACUGUGUACUUAGAAUUUCAAGUUCAAAAAAUAAGGACAUAUAGUCCUGAACUUGGAGUUACAAGUUCCAAAGUUAAGGACAGGUAAUCCCAAACUUAGAGUUACAAGCUCAAAAAUUUAGGACAUGUAGUCCCGAACUUAGACUUACAAGCUCAUAAAUUAUGGACAACUAGUCCAAAACUUACAGUAACAAGAUCAUAAGUUAUGGACACUUGGUCCUGAACUUAGAGUUUGAAGUGCAAAAAUUAAGGACACUCGGUCCUUAACUUUGAGUUACAAGCACGGAAAUUAAGGACAGGUAGUCAUUAAGUUAGAGUUACAAACACAGAAAUUGCGGACAUGGUAGUCCUGAACUUUGAGUUCCAAGUUCAAAAGUUAAGGACAUGUAGUCCUGAACUUAGAGUUACAAGUUCAAAAGUUAAGGACGGGUAGUCCUAAACUUAGACCUACAAGCUCAUAAAUUAAGGCUAGCUAGUCCAGAACUUGUAGUACAAGCUAACAAGUUAAGGAAAUUUGGUCAUGAACUUAGAGUUGGAAGUUCAAAAGUUAAGGACACUUGGUCCUUAACUUGGAGUUACAAGCAUAGAAAUAAGGAGAGGUAGUCCUAAACUUAGAGUUACAAGAACAAAAUUAAGGUCAGGUAGUCCUGAACUUCGACUUCCAAGUUCAACACUUAAGGACAUGUUGUCCUGAACAUAGAGUUACAAAUUCAAAAGUUAAGGACAUGUAGUCUUAAACUUAAAUUAAUAAUAGCUAGUCUUGAACCUAUAGUAACAAGCUCAUAAGUAAAGGAAACUUGUGUAGAUAUCCAAUUUUUCUUUGUAUAUUUUUAUAUGCAAAAUACUUUUAGAAUAGCAUAUAUAUGCAUAUAUAAGUAUAUCCCAUUGUUUUAUUACUUUUUAUUAAUUUUUAAUGUAUUUUAAACCAAUUUAUUCCCAUAUUUUAUUCAAUAAAAAAAACCCAACAAUAAUUAUCAAAGUUAUCAAUCUUGGUGAUUCAUUUAUUGGAUUCUCAUAUUUAUAAAAUAUAGUCAAGAUAACGUUUUGCAUAUUUUAUACAAAUUUAUUUAGUAUUUUUAAAGUUAAAUUGUAUAUAAUUGCAAUAUUAACCUCUUUUAGAUUUAAUUGCAUUUAUAUUUACGAAAAUUAGAUCCAUUUUUUUAAUUGAUAAUUAUGUAUUACAAAUCAUCUUAGUACCUUUAGUUUAUUUCCAGGAAUUGUGGCCUGAAUUGAACCCCUAAUUUGAAGCCCAAUUCCCAUUCAAAUAACCCAACCCGGAUCCCAUAUCUAACCCUUUCAAUCAUGGUCGUUGAUCAUUUAGAUCAACGACCAAUAUUAUCCCUUUCCAUUUUUAACCUCAAACGACCCACCCCAUUUUACACUAAACGCCGCCCUUGAAUCCCUUCCCUCACAACUCUCUCUGCAGUCCCUCAUAAACCCUAGCCGCUGCAAUCAAACUACAACCUUAAUACCUCCCAAAUCGAUAGCUUCCAAGGUUAUCGGAGACCUGUAUCAACCUCCCAUGGCUUCUACAUAUUCGAUUCUUAUGGUCUCAAGGCUAGAUCUUGAAAGAGCUUGGUCCAGAUCCUGGUUGAUUUCAAUUCUUGGUUGUUCUUUGGUUGUCUCUAACCUUUCACUGGCCAGCCAUAUCUAGUCGAGUCAGACUUUUGACUCUCCUACUUAGAUCGAUGAUUUUCAAAGCAUUUCUCAUCACGUGGGGUUCUUAUGAAACCCUAACGUCUAAGGUUCUUUCGAUUUCUUCUAGAUCUGUUUCAGAUCUAUGUUUGCUCUGAAUUUCUAAGUAUUUAUUCGAAGUUUCUUUUAAAACUCUGCCUUCAAAAUCCUAUAUCUUUUUCGAUUAAGGUUUUUGAUAAGUUAUCUAUACCACCCUCGAAGGAAUAGUGUAUAAGGGAUUUUUUUCAAUUUAUGUGACAUUAUUCGAAAUAGGAUUAUUUAUUCAAUUUUGUUCGGAGUCGCCACCUGGGAUGGUUUAUUUUCUGGUGUCCCAAGUCACCGGUUUACUUUAAAAUUCCAAAUCAAGGAAAAUUCGACUUUCCAUGUGAAGUCUGCGAACCAGAAAUUCUAAAUAAGGAAUUCUGUUAACCCGAGGGAAGGUGUUAAGCACCCCCGGAUUCCGUGGUUCUAGCACGGUCACUUAAUAUUAUAACUAGCCUAUUAUGUGAUUUUAAUACAUAUUUUAGCCUAUGGUAUAAUUUUAACUUACUAACCGCUUUUAAAUAUUUUUUAAGAAGAUCUCAACGUUAUCUAAGACGUAUCUUUGAACCAUGCCACAUAAAAUAUACCGGAAAUCCGAGACACAUUUUAUUUAAUGUUAUGAGAUUUGGAUUUGGGUCAUAUAAACUGCGCAACCGAGUUUAGGAAGGUAAAUUAUUAAAAUAACACGCCUAAAGCAGCUACGCGUUGUUAACUUUGCUAGGGCCAUGAAAAAUUUGCUAAAUGGCACGCCUCGAGUUCUAAGGGCUUUAAAAGAAAUAGCUAAAUGAGGGCCAUGCAUUUGGGAUUUGUUUGGCACGGCAGAAAUUUCAAUGAAAAUCCAGAAGAAGUUCAAUGAAACAGUAAUUUGUAAUAAAAUUUCAGCCGCACCAAACAAAUCCCAAACAGUAAUACAAGCUCAAAUUGGCUUGCCUUUUCUAUUUGGGCUUCUAUAUUAAUUGGCUUGCCUUUUCUAUUGGGCUUUUGUAUUCUUUGGGCUCAAAUUGGUUUGCCUUCUGUAGUAAUUUUAAAUUGUCUUGCCUUUUCUAUUUGGGCUUUUGAAGCUCUUAGGUCAAAAAAUACAAGCUCAAAAGCACUCAUUAACUUAAAAUGAAAAAAAUGCAAAAGAUUUGAAGUAUCAGAGAAAUAAAAAAGAAAAAUCAAAACAUGCACAAAAAAAACAUAAGAAGAAGAUAAAGAGACCCAAAUGAAUAUUAAAACUCAGAAAUUAAAGGCGAAAUACCUGAGAAAGAGCAGCCUAGAUCGUAAGAAAAUCAAGAGAACUUCGACUUCCAAAUUUCGGCUCAAUCAGAGAUUAGUCAUGUGUUUAUUUAGCAAAAACACACGAAUAAAGUCUGAACAAGCCUGAAAUCUUUGCAGAAUUCUUGAAUUGGAGAAUUUAGGGUUUUAUGUUUAAACUUUGGUUGAAGAUUCGAGGAGUUUGGUUAAGAUUCGAGGGUAACUAACUAUAGAUUAGUGAAGAGGGGGUCAUGGUGGUCAAGGGGUGUUAUUUUGGUUUUGGUUGGUGGUGGCGCCGCUAACCUAAGGCGGUGGGAUUUCAGGGCGGCUGGCUGGGGUUUCAUCUUUUCUGAUCUGAAAUUUGAGGAAUUUAAAUGGCAUUUAAGAAGAACGAAUUGGGUAUUUUGGAUGGGGAGGUAGAGGAGAUUCAGUGGUGUUAAAAUGGUGUCGAUUGACCACCGGCCGCCACCGUAGGCAUUUCCGACAGGUGGCGGAUGGUGGUUUGAGGCGGUGUUAGGUUGGAGUCUCUCAGGGUAUGAGAGAUGAUUGAGGGGGUAUGGGGUCACAUUUGGACAUAUAUAUGUCAAAGACCCCUUUAGUUCAGGACUGUUGGACUGAUGAGAUCCAAUGGUCGAGAUUCAACGGGCGCAAAACGGGGUAGGUUAAACACAAGAGGAGGAGGACCGGGUUUUGAGAUGAGUUUGGGCCGGGUAUUGAACGGUUUGGACCGGUUAAAGCGGCAAAACAUUUGGGCUUGGUGAAAGUCAACCCAAAAAACAGACUCUCUUCCAAUUCCUUUUCUUUUUCUUUUAAUUCGAAAAUUCUAUUUCUUUUAAAAUCAAAAAUAAAAACCUAUAUUAAUUCUUAGAAACUAAAUUAAACUACCAAAUUAUGUCAAUUACUUGAUAUUGUAUUUAUAAUAAUUAAUUAAAUCCUAAAACAAAAAAAAAAA
rnacentral:lncRNA from 1 species